rnacentral:rRNA from 1 species
AACGAACGCUGGCGGCAUGCCUAACACAUGCAAGUCGAACGAGACCUUCGGGUCUAGUGGCGCACGGGUGCGUAACGCGUGGGAACCUGCCCUUAGGUUCGGAAUAACUCCUCGAAAGGGGUGCUAAUACCGGAUAAUGUCUUCGGACCAAAGAUUUAUCGCCUUUGGAUGGGCCCGCGUUGGAUUAGCUAGUUGGUAGGGUAAAAGCCUACCAAGGCGACGAUCCAUAGCUGGUCUGAGAGGAUGAUCAGCCACACUGGGACUGAGACACGGUCCAGACUCCUACGGGAGGCAGCAGUGGGGAAUAUUGGACAAUGGGCGAAAGCCUGAUCCAGCAAUGCCGCGUGAGUGAUGAAGGCCUUAGGGUUGUAAAGCUCUUUUACCCGGGAUGAUAAUGACAGUACCGGGAGAAUAAGCGCCGGCUAACUCCGUG